rnacentral:pre_miRNA from 1 species
UCCUUAUGGGAGUAGUGGAAAUGGGUGAAGUCGAAAGACCUCUUUCCAGGGCGGUCUUUCCACUUCUACCCAUUUCCGCUAUUUCACUAAGUGA